rnacentral:lncRNA from 10 species
CCUUCCACCGCCCGGAAGCUUUACUUUCGCUUUCACUUUUGCUUUAAUUAUGCCGCCCCACGCUCUUUGGGUCCGCACGUUUCUCUAAUCGAGCUGUAACACUCGCCACUGUGGUCCACGGCUUCAUUUCUUGAAGCCCGUGGGACCACGAACCCUUCGAUUGAGAAAAGACCUUCCAUCAGGAAAAGACUUCUUGUCUCAGCAAGUUGUCUACUGAUGAAUGUUGUACUUUUUAUAAACAAAAAUUGCAUUAAGGAAAAAAUAAAACUAUGUAUUUAUACAUAAAUAACUGUUUUGACCAUCAAAAAUUAUUUUGAUAAAACUUUCAUUGAAAAUUUUUUAACCAUACACUAUGAUAUAGAGAUAACAUGGUGUGUUUUUGAUACCCAGUUAAGUCUAAUAUUCUGAUAUUCACCUAAAUUUUGUUUUUGCAAAUAAGAGAAAGAAGUAAUUGAUUUCUAGUGUCUUUAUCUUUUACGAAAUCCCAACUUUCUUCUAAAACGCAUUAUCUCUCUCUGUCUCUCUCCCUGUUCUCAGAAUAUAAACAUGGCCCUUGAAACUGUGGCUAGAACAGUAUCUCCGACAUGUUACCUACCUAAGAGAAAAUAUACUUUUAAUAGCACAUUGACAUUUGGUCAUUGUGAUGGUUCAUAUUGAGUGUCAACUCAGUUAGAUUGAAGGAUGCAAAUUAUUGUUCCUGGCUGUGUCUUUGAGGUUGUUGCCAAAGGAGCUUAACAGCUGAGUCAGUGAACUGGGAAAGGCAGACCCAGCCUUAAUCUGUUUGGGCACAAUCUAAAUCAGCUGCCAGUGCAGCCAGACUAAAAGCAGGCAGAAGAACGUGAAAAGACUACUCUGGCUUAGUCUCCGGGCCUACAUCUUCCUCCUGUGCUGGAUGCUUCCGCCCUUGAACAUCAGACUCCAAGUUUUCAGCUUUGGGACUCUUGGACCUUCGACCAUAGACUGCAGGCUGCACUAUCGGCUUCCCUACUUUUCAAGUUUUGGGACUCAGACUGGCUUCCUUGCUCCUCAGCUUGCAAAUGGCCUAUUCUGGGAUCUCACUUUGUGAUCAUGACAAGAACCCAGAACCCACUGAGCUGCGGGCAGUGGGAAUAAAUGGGCUGUAACACACUGCCACUUGCCAGACUAUGGAAGAAAGAGAGCUGUAACAUGCUCCUGCUUGCUGAGCUGCAGGAGUGAAGAACUGCAACAUCUAACAUCUCAGACCUUGGGACUCCUCAGGUAAGAGCUGUAACACCCCUUGGGGUUUCGCAAUUGCUGUCAUCUCCAAGUUUUCGGAUGCCACUGCGUUCUGUUUGUCUAGAUGCUGGUGCCCAAGGCAGAAGUCACUAGCAGUAUGCUUGGUCCAGCUGUGGGCUAAGCAUGGAGCCAUGGCAGGUGCAGUAUUCGGGCCGAGGCAUGAGCCAAGUGCAGCCUGCUGGGCCAAGUGGGCAGGGUGAGCCCAGCAGGCCCUAAGCAAGGCUUGGGCAGAGAUGACGAUGGCCGUAGAGAUUUCUGGCUGGUGAAGCAACACUGAAGGAGUCCUGUAACGGGAGGAUAGGCUAAUGGUUAUAAGUUGUGUCUUAGGUGUGGUAAUUAACAAUGAACCCACAGAAAUUUUCUGUUUUAACCAGGUUGAAAUAAAAGGAAAACAGUUCAUCAUCUUCUAAAGGAAGCUUAAAUUGGAAAGUUGGAUGUUAGAUUUUUUCAGAAACGCAUACAUUUUUUAAGUAAUAAAUCUAACAUUCUUCUCC